CGCCCUUUCUUAACAGAACCACUAUACUUGCCAAACAUUGUUUUCAACAAGAAGUUUUGCAAAGUUAAAAGAAUUGUGGUCGAUGUUGUUGCGUUUGCUCCAAAUAAAAUGAAUGAAAGAUGCACUGGAGUUUUAAUAUAACCAGAUGUAUUUUUAAAGGCCGUAAAACAAUAACAAGAAGUUAGAUUACAUGGACAUGAGC